CGGCACUUCGUACCUUCCUCAGCAGCGGGUCCCUGUCAUUAGCAGCAUCAGCAGCGGGUCCCCGUCAUCAGCAGCAGCGGGUCCACGUCAUCAGCAGCAGCGGGUCCCGUCUUUAGCUCCGGCUGGCGCGAGUCCCCAUCAUUUGGAUGUGGCGCCAGUAAACCCCUGCAACAACAGCGUACCGAGGGGAGAGAGUGAGAGGAAGGGAAAGAACUGUGAGUGAAGGGGAGGAGCUGGACCACCUUGGCCAGCGCCGCGGCAGGCCUCCCUCUUGACACUGGAUCUGCACAGGGGCGCAGGGAGUGCGCACCACUGCGCUGCAAUAGCAAGGAGGUCACGGUGUAUGAGUGAACGAUCUCACGUAGAGAUGAACUAUUAAGUCGUCUUUUGGAGAGCGUCAUCUACAACAUUACUGAAGACCCUUGCCAAAUCGAUGAGGCUUCGUGGGCUGCAUCAGGUGGUGGGUUCUGCCUUUGACCACAUGGAUGAAGGGAGCCACAGCCAGUACCACAAGACCAUAUACUCCUUGCUGGACUCUAUAAGUCCGGCGUAUCGGGAGGCGUUUGGCAACGAUCUACUGCGGAGGCUGGAAGCCUUGAAAAAAGACAAACAGUGCUGAGUGUGAUUGUCUGCGGAGCCACAGUCUCAUUCUGAACCUUGUUUUAUCCCUUUACUGCUCCAGUCCCGGCACCCGCAUAUGACGCACGCUCACUGUAUGUUGCAUUUGGAAUCUAAGAUCACCAUACAGACGCCUUGAAAUAUAGUAACCAGAUAGCUGCAGUCAGGUGCCCUGCCACAUGUACAAUCAGUUAAUGUCCACUUUUAUGAAUUUUAACUUUGUGCUCCCCUUGUCUGUAAUGGAGGUAAAGGGCUUCAAUCCGGGACACGAGGGAAAAUUAAUUCUGUUCAUGUGAGGCACCUCUGUCAUGGAAUAUGAUUUUAACUGUAUUUUAUGGGUGAUGUUUGUUAAAUGAAAUGUACAGAAUAGAUAAGUAUUGGUGUUCAGAUUUAGAGCUCGGUUUAUCAAAGCUUGGAGAGAGAUUGAGGGGCAGAUGUAUUAACCUGGAGAAGGCAUAA